rnacentral:rRNA from 1 species
GACGAACGCUGGCGGCGUGCUUAACACAUGCAAGUCGAACGGAAAGGCCCUGCUUUUGUGGGGUGCUCGAGUGGCGAACGGGUGAGUAACACGUGAGUAACCUGCCCUUGACUUUGGGAUAACUUCAGGAAACUGGGGCUAAUACCGGAUAGGAGCUCCUGCUGCAUGGUGGGGGUUGGAAAGUUUCGGCGGUUGGGGAGGGACUCGCGGCUUAUCAGCUUGUUGGUGGGGUAGUGGCUUACCAAGGCUUUGACGGGUAGCCGGCCUGAAAGAGUGACCGGCUACAUAGGGCCAGAGGUACGGCACGCACUCCUGCGGGAGGCAGGCUUGGGAAAUAUUGCACAAUGGGCGGAGGCAUGAUGAAGCAACGCCGCGUGCGAGAUGACGGCCUUCGGGUUGUAAACCGCUUUCGCCUGUGACGAAGAGUGAGUGGCGGUAAUGGGGAAAGAAGCACCGGCUAACUACGU